rnacentral:lncRNA from 1 species
AUUGUCUUGGCUAUAUGUAGGGAAAAGAAAGAGAGAUCAGACUGUUACUGUGUCUAUGUAGAAAAGGAAGACAUAAGAAACUCCAUUUUGACCUGUACCCUGAACAAUUGCUUUGCCCUGAGAUGCUGUUAAUCUGUAACUUUAGCCCCGACCUUGAGCUCACAGAAACAUGUGUUUUAUGGAACCAAGGUUUAAGGGAUCUAG